AUAUAGUCUGUCAAGCAAAGUCUGUCAGUAGCAAUGUAAAGCAAACUGAAGUAUGGCAACACUCACAGAGCAGUAUUGCGCUAAGAAAAGCAGCAAUGUACAUCGAACCGAAACAUAUUUUUUUCCGCUGAGCGCGCUCUUCGUACGUCAACUAAAAUUGCUGCUCGCGGUUUAUUGCAGCAUUUGGAAAUUGUUAUUAUUAUGAGAGGGACAAUUUUAAACUGGAGUAAAAACGAUGUCAAUCAAUAUGAUAAACGAGAUCAAAAAUUACCUAUUUGCAAACGGACUAUGCUGGAGAAAAUAAUGUUUGAAUCAAAUCAUUGCUUCCGCAGCAAACUUAGAAGACAAAUAGGGAGCAAAGAGAACAUGAGCACCACGGUAGAAAGCUGUUUUUAACAUCAGUUCAGAAACUGAAGAAGCCCAAAGAAAAUAAUUAUGCCACUUGUUAAUUGUAAAUUAGUGUAUUUCUCUUGAACAAUGUCACAUUCACAUACCAGUGUAAUUUUGAAAUGGUUUUACAAUAUACUUAUAUAAAUAUACAGAUUAAAAAUAAAUAAAACACAACUGCAGAUA